rnacentral:rRNA from 1 species
GGGGUGCAGCAGGCGCGAAAACUUCACACUGUGCGAAAGCACGAUGAGGGAAUCCCAAGUGCUGNCUCGUAAGAGUCAGCUGUUUUUCUGUCUAGAAACCAGAGAGAGUAAGAGCUGGGUAAGACGGGUCCCAGCCGCCGCGGUAAUACCUGCANCUCAAGUGGUGGCCGCUAUUAUUGGGCCUAAAACNUUCGUAGCCGGUUUAGUAAAUGCCUGGGUAAAUCCUNCGGCUUAACCGUNCGAAUUCCGGGUAGACUGCUGGACUUGGGACUGGGAGAGGCUAGAGGUANUCCUGGGGUAGAGGUGAAAUUCUGUAAUCCUAGGGGGACNACCAGUGGCGAAGGCGUUUAGCUAGAACANGUCUGACGGUGAGGAACGAAACCNUGGGGNGCAAACGGGAUUAGAUACCCCGGUAGUCCAGGGUGUAACACGCUUGCU